GAGUGGAUUGGAUUGAAUUCAUUUGAGGCGGCUAACAUUUUGAUGCGUCGUCGUUUAAAACUGAAGGUGUUAGUGUUAAAAGUUAAAACCGCCCGUAAAUAAAUAAUUGUGUAAAUCACUAUAAACAAUAAGUUUCUUAUUAUCAGUCAACUGGUGUUUAUGUACUUGAUCAAGAUGAACAGCUCUUGUUGUAAAUCAUGUACAAGAUAUUUCCUGUGUGCAAAAGCAGUUGUCUUUAUUGUGUGGAUGAAUUGAAAAUAAAAAUAAAAAGAUCACUGUUUGUCAAAGUAACUAUUGCAAAGGAUAAAGCAGAAACAAUGGAAACCACUAACAGUGCUCUUCUUUUUGAAAGUGACCUUUCACCAUCGCCUCAAGAUGAAAAUGAACUGUCAUUGUACAACUUUGUUGAAGAAACGAAUGUCAGAGAACCCGGUUAGUCCAAAAAAUACAAACAGUCAACGUUUUGAAAAUGGUAGGACCAUUAGGCAGCCUAAAGAUAGUGAGUCUGUAAAAACCGUUCCGAAAAUUAUUCUAAGGAGAGUGUCCGGUGAAACGAAUUGUUUUGAGAUUCAGGGUAGUAAGCCGAAGAAGAAAAAGAAGAAACAUUCAAAAAGAAAAUCUUCAAUUCGUUCUGAAACAGGCAGUACAGAAAAUGAAACACAGCCUUAUGAAACAAUUUGGAUAUCUGACGAUGAUGAUGAUGUAAUUUUGUGCUCAGAUAAGGAAAUCAACAACAACAAGGUUUGCUUUGAAAAUAAUGUUCAGGAUUGUUUAGAUAAAUCUACAGAAAUGUACAGUGAUGUUCAGACCCACCUGAAUUACUUAAAUGGGAUUUGUCUUCAAUUUAAAGAAAUGGAAACUCUUACAACAGAACUAGCCGAAGCACUCUACGUCAUCAUCUCUGCUCAGAAGGACAGGUUACAAAGACAACUAAAGUGUGCAAACCUUUCAGAAGAAUUUGUACGGAAGGAGAAGUUUUUCGCCGAGGAACAGUGUGAAAAGGUUGUCACGUUGUACGGUCCUCAGUUCACCAAGUGUUUUAAAAAAUUAGAGGAUAAUCUUCUUUGUCUUCAUGAGAACCUAAGUUCAGUCUAUCUUCAUAUUCUACAAAGAAUAUUUGAUGCUGUUCGUAAAAUUGAUGAAACCAUUCAAGCUACUGUGGAUGAGGUGAGACAUUUAGUGAUAUCAAUAUUAAAAGAAAACAAUCAUAAGAGUAAAGUGUUUGACUUUUUAACUGAUGAUCACCAAAUUUUAGCAGCAAUUUAUUAAUAAUUAUUAAUUACUAUGUAAGCAGGAUUGGUAUUAUGAAAAAAGGCAGGCAAGGGUGUAUUUACAAAGUGUACUGUUACAAUCAAAUUUUUUUAAGUAAACAUUAAAUAUAAAAAAAACAGUAUAUUUAAAUGAUUUUUUUAGUAUUUUACUAAGAAUUAACUACUAAAAUUACCAAUACUAAAAAACAAAAUUUAAAGAGAAAUGUACAAUAGUACAAGCAAAAGUAUAGAAUAACUGUUUCAAUGCCUUGAUGUAGAGUAAACAUGAAUAAUUGUAUGAAACGUAUAUACAAUUGUAUGUAUAUAAUUGUAUUGUAUAUACGUAUAUAUAUAUUGUAUGAAACGAACAUACAAGGUAUGUUCAAAAAGUAAUGGGAAUUUUAAUUUUUGUUUUAAUGCUCAUCUAUUCAUCUACAUUAAUUUUGUCACCUUCAAAAUAUUUCUUAUUAGAUAAUAUGCACUUAUGCCGGCACUCCCAAUCCCUAAAACACUUCACAAACUCAAUCUUUGGGAUAGAUAGCCUUUAGCUCUUUCAGAGAUGCACUUUUAAUUUCAUCUGUGCUUGUAAAAGAACAGACCUUUAAGCUUCUCUUUACUGUUGGAAAUCAAAAAAGUCACACAGAGAAUGUUUGAAGAAUAUGGAGACUGGUGUGGCGUUACAGUACUUAUGGUCAAAAAUUCAGAAACAAGCAAUGUAGUAUGAGCAGGUGCAAAAGCCAUUCAACACUAUUAAACAAUUUUGGAAACAAUUUUGCUGUCAAGUUUUAUAUCCAAAACAUUAAAAAAAGCCAUGGGAUGAGCCAAUUAAUAUGAAAAAAAUUAUCAGCAACUUCUUUGAUCAUAAUACUGUGAUCGUUCAUAACCACUUUUUGCCAUUUUCAUCAGCUUUUUAUGUGCUGGGGCGUCCGGAGCGUUCAUCAUUUUCAACGCGUUCACUACCAUGUUUGAAACAUUUAAAUACUCUUAAACCCUUUACUCAUAGCAGACUCACCAUUUAGGCCUUUAUUAACACUUCCUAUACAUAGUUAUAUUUUAUUUCAUUUUUCCCUCAAAAUUUGAUACAAAUUCGUUGAUCCAUUUUUUUAAGAAACAAAAAAUUUAUGAGUUCAUAAAACACAUCUAACCUUAGCAACUGCUACUGAAAUGAAUAGAGCUGGAAAUGUUAUUACACUUCAGGAGCAUAAAAAAACAGCAUAAUAAAAAAACUUUACAAUAAGACUCUUCAAAAACUUAAAAACUUUUGAUAAUUUUAACACAUCUCGUAUAUAUAAUCUGUAAUUUCUAAGUACACAACGUAUGUCGGUCAAAUUAUAGAAAAUAUGAAGAACUAUGUACGAAGGGGUGGAUGCCUACUAAACUUGUCACCUAUACAGAAUCAAUGGGAAAAUGUAUAGCUGGCCCCGUACUUUUUGUGAUGCUAACACAUGGAAUUGAAUUCCCACCGGUCUUAAAAUGGUAUACUUGCAUACACUACCACUUUAAAAUUAAAAUUACCCAUUUUCUUAUUUUUUAAGAUACAUUUUUCAAUAUUAAACUAGUUAACUAAUUAAAUUCUUAAAUUUUGUUUGUUGAGUGCAAUUUUACUAGGUUCUUUCAACACCAAUGACAGUAUUAAUAGUACUUAUAGUUUACACUGUCUUAUUUAUAGACAGUAUUAAUAAUUCUUUUAAUUAAUAGUACUUAAAGUUAUGGACUGUCCAAACCUAUUUGAAAAAUUGUAUUAGACUUCCUUGAAUUUGAACCUGGUCCAUUAUGAGAUAAUGAUAAUAAAAGUUACGUGUUUGUUAAAGUGUUUUGUCAAGUUUUUAACUGGUGAUAACUGGCAUUACUUUUGUUUUUGAUGGCAUUUCAAGAUCAUCUCAUAUUUUAUUAAGAAUUGAAAAGUUAAAUUUAGGUACAUUGAUAUUUACCUAAAUUUAAAUAUAUGCAGGAUUUUCCAGAACUCUACCAAUCUUUUCAGGUGUUAUUCCUGGGCCAAAGGUAAACCAAAAUAUCAAUUUCAACUUUUGGAAACUCAAUAAUUACCUGAAUAGCCACCAUAUUUUCCAUUUAACUAUUUUUAAUUUAAGAACAGCUUUUUGUAAUAAGUUGAAAUUUGGUAUGUACCUUUUUAAUCUAAAGGCUCAAUUAGAGAAAAAAAUCAAUAUUUUAGAUGCUUUAUUUUCAAAAUGGCAGCUUCUAAAAUGUUUAAGUGUAAAUAUCGUAAAAAUUAUAUGCGAUAAAAAGUCAUAGUUAUUAAAUUUUAGUUAGAAAAUGUAGUUACAAAUCCAACCAAGUUAAAGAAAAUCAAUUGAUAAAUAAGGUAAAUAAUGUGCUUUAAACAUACAGAGUACAAAACAAUACAAACUAUCUUUCUUUCUUAAAAUAAAUGAAAUCGUAAAAUAGGAAAAUUUUCAUUUUAUUCUUAAAAUUUCCUCUUGCAUAUUACAAUUUACGUGUAAGGGGUAUUUAAAAUUGUAAACUGGGCCUAGAUGAUAAUCUCCCUGCUGAGUAGCCUAUAUUAUAAACGUUCCUUCCAUUAUGCAUUUAACGUAUGUAUUAAUAACCAGUUCCAUUAAAUAAAGAUUCUCGUACCUGUAAAGUUUGAGGCUGUGACGAAACAUAGACUGCUAGUAAGUCACUUAGAAAGCCUUAAAAGUUAACAAUAAGUGAGUGAUUAAUACUAUAAGUAAUGUAAAUUAUGUGUUCAGGGGAUUCAGUAGCCAAAGUUAGAGGUGUCAAACACUAGCUCUGAUAUUGAAUAUGAUUGUCAUCUGUAAAAACACUAAUGUGCCAUUCUUGUAGUACGCAAAAUUAGUACAGUACAUAGUGUUUUAUGAGACUUUCUUUGUAUUUUAUUAUUUAAUGUACAGUUAGUAUCAUAGGGAAAAGUUUUGUUGUUUUUGUCAUGUAGUAAAAAUGUUGAUUUAGAUUUGAGCUUUAUAUUUUUCGUUUUAAUGUGUGAAUUUUUUUACAAAACAGUAGAGUUACGCUAUUCCGAACAUUGUUCGGAAACAGUAUACAUUUUCAAAUUGUUCUAUAAAUACAAUAAUGAAAUCUCUGAUUUUUAAUCUUAUAACUGGAACAAAGAAGAAAUUGAAAACUGAAAAGUCGUUCGUGAAAAAACAUACAUUUAUUGUUUUACAAAAUAUACUGUACAAGGACUUGUAAUAAAGAAAUACCCGUGCUUAAAGCCUAGGUUUGAAGAAAACACUAAGAAGUUAAGUUAGUGUUUUUUUUUUCUGACGAAGUGCAGUGAAUCGACUUGAGGAUGUAAUGUUUCCACCAUCAUCGCCGCAUAAACAUAACAUCAUUUGUGGUGUUGAUGAAGCGUGUUCGACGUAGCCUAACGUAAGGUAAGGUCAAGAGCAUUUUGCGUGCCUGUGUGUGAAUGAACUGCUCUUCCCUCAGGAUUUGUUCACGAACCCAUCAACGCCGAUAUGUCGACACUAUUCAUUAAUCCGACUAUUCCGAAUUCCCGCGAAUCCGUGCACUGUUCGAAUUGGCGAGACUCUACUGGCAGUACUCUGAUUCGUAGGCAGAAAAUGUUGCAUAACAAUAUUUUCGUCAUAACAUGAGAUAUUAAUGUUGUUCCUUUGGUUACUUUCAGUAACCAUUUAAUGUACUGGAUUCUACCUAACUGUGUGUAUUACUAAGCUAGCUAUGAUCAUAAUAAUGUUUUAAUGUUACACAACAAUAAACAAUACUUUUAAUAGGUUAUGGUUUUCGGGCCUGAACAAAUUAUAGGAUCCCACCAAAAGUAAUCCUGUAAAUUGUGCGCUGUCAUGGCUUGCUUUAUGCUGAAUAUCGAUGAAUCGAUCGAACAAUACCUGAAAUGGUGCUUAUUUAUAUAAAUUGAACCUCUACUAAUGUCCCCGUGAAAGUAUGAAAUCUGUCAAGAGUGUACUACAAUAUGUAGUUAUAAUUUUAACAAGCUGACUUGAAUCAGACCCCUUACGGUACAUUAGUCUUGUGAUAUCAGUCAAGAUAACAUAAUAUAGAGCUGUGAUUCCAUGCACAAUUGUGUUAAAUAGGUGGUUCAAGUUAUUAAGGGGAGCAGACCGCUUUUAUUAUCCCCAUCUCCGCCAUGUUAACUUAUGUACCCAAUAUCCAAAAACUAUAAAAGAUACAGGAUUGAAACUUUGCAUGUUACUGACAUUGAUCCUUUAUACAUCUUUACACCAGAGGAUUUUGUAAAAUAUACUUUAGUUUUGUAUUUAUGAUUUUUUAUAAUGUUAAAAAAGUCUAAACAAAUGAAAUUAAACGUUUCUUUUGUAAGUAAUAUUUUUACAAACCCUGUGGUAUAAAGUUGUGUUAAAAUUGCCUAAAAAUGAGUAAACAAUUGCAUGCCUGUACUACCAACAGUUACUGAGAUGUAGGUACAAUUACACUAACAAUUACAGCUGCAGGAAACAAAGAAAAUGUAAAAAAAAAGAAAAAAAGUUACACUUAAAAAGUUGUAAUGAACAAGUAAGUAAACUACGUUAAGUUUCUCUGUUGCAUAUUUAUUCACUAGUCUUAUCUUUUAUUGUUGUUUUCGCUGAUUUAUCAUCUUGUAAAGCUUCUCUAAGGCUCUCUUCGUAUUCUGCAAUAUUAAAAAAUAGAAUAGUAAAAUACACAUAAAAAGGUGCUAGGCUUAUGUUUUUUAAUACUUCUGAUAUAAAGGUUUUGAAGCGGUAUGAAUAGGCCGUGGUUCUCAGUGCCUCUAAAAUACUGUCGAUCGUGUAGCAUUACUAAUGAAGUAGUAUUGUAAAAAGAAAUACUAGCAUUUGUAAAGAGAAAUACAACCUCGGAUGCGUCACGCUCAGUUCUUGGUUGUGAGGUAUGAAGUAUGCAUGCAAACCGUCAGAAAAUAUUGUUUUAAGCUAACUUACUAUAAGAAAACAUAUACAUGUUAUAUAUCAUUGUAUAGAGAACAUUUCAGGCUAUUUAAAAACUGCAAAAACGAAAAAACAAAAAAUUGGGUUUUAACUGGUUUGCUCCCCUUAAAUUUACCAACUUGUACUACAGUGAGAUGGUAGAUGUAUAAUUCCCUGGAGGCAAAAUGAGUCUGCUGAUACGAACAUUAUAUGUUGGUUUCUUUUGAAAAGUACUUAGUCCUCUUAAGAGUUAAAAUAUUCAAACGUUUCGUCUAGAAAACUUUUGUAUUCUCCUCAUUUCACUGAAAGAAAUUGUUUAGCUAAAUUUUGACUUUAUAAGUUCAAAUAUAAUUUAUUAUUAUUGUUAUUGUUGAAGUCUUUAGCAAGUUUGAAAAUAAAAUAUGAAACUGUUAUUAAUUUAAUUUGUGAACAUGUGACAUUAUUAUUAAAAUUAAACUGUAUAUUAUCUGUAAAUAUUUGAAAUACUGUUGUAAGCAAGUUCCUAUUUUUUUAAAUAAUGUAACUAUGUUUGUUUGUUUUUCAGUAGUAUUUUAAGAAUGUCUAGUUUUAUUUCUUGAAUAAUUAUUAUAAAGUAUUGUAUGUUUAAAACUUAUUACAUAGUAGUAUUAUUUAGUUACGGCAUUAGUCCUAUUUAAUGGGUAUUGUAGACGCAGUAAACAUUUUGACAUGGUCUGUACUGUGAACUGCUAAGUGUUAAGUUUGAGUUAGUUUUAUUAAACAGUUUUUAAGUCUU